ACUUAAAUUGAAGAGUUUGAUCAUGGCUCAGAUUGAACGCUGGCGGCAGGCCUAACACAUGCAAGUCGAACGGUAGCACAGAGAGCUUGCUCUCGGGUGACGAGUGGCGGACGGGUGAGUAAUGUCUGGGAAACUGCCUGAUGGAGGGGGAUAACUACUGGAAACGGUAGCUAAUACCGCAUAACGUCGCAAGACCAAAGAGGGGGACCUUCGGGCCUCUUGCCAUCAGAUGUGCCCAGAUGGGAUUAGCUAGUAGGUGGGGUAACGGCUCACCUAGGCGACGAUCCCUAGCUGGUCUGAGAGGAUGACCAGCCACACUGGAACUGAGACACGGUCCAGACUCCUACGGGAGGCAGCAGUGGGGAAUAUUGCACAAUGGGCGCAAGCCUGAUGCAGCCAUGCCGCGUGUAUGAAGAAGGCCUUCGGGUUGUAAAGUACUUUCAGCGGGGAGGAAGGUGUUGUGGUUAAUAACCGCAGCAAUUGACGUUACCCGCAGAAGAAGCACCGGCUAACUCCGUGCCAGCAGCCGCGGUAAUACGGAGGGUGCAAGCGUUAAUCGGAAUUACUGGGCGUAAAGCGCACGCAGGCGGUCUGUCAAGUCGGAUGUGAAAUCCCCGGGCUCAACCUGGGAACUGCAUUCGAAACUGGCAGGCUAGAGUCUUGUAGAGGGGGGUAGAAUUCCAGGUGUAGCGGUGAAAUGCGUAGAGAUCUGGAGGAAUACCGGUGGCGAAGGCGGCCCCCUGGACAAAGACUGACGCUCAGGUGCGAAAGCGUGGGGAGCAAACAGGAUUAGAUACCCUGGUAGUCCACGCCGUAAACGAUGUCGACUUGGAGGUUGUGCCCUUGAGGCGUGGCUUCCGGAGCUAACGCGUUAAGUCGACCGCCUGGGGAGUACGGCCGCAAGGUUAAAACUCAAAUGAAUUGACGGGGGCCCGCACAAGCGGUGGAGCAUGUGGUUUAAUUCGAUGCAACGCGAAGAACCUUACCUACUCUUGACAUCCAGAGAACUUUCCAGAGAUGGAUUGGUGCCUUCGGGAACUCUGAGACAGGUGCUGCAUGGCUGUCGUCAGCUCGUGUUGUGAAAUGUUGGGUUAAGUCCCGCAACGAGCGCAACCCUUAUCCUUUGUUGCCAGCGGUCCGGCCGGGAACUCAAAGGAGACUGCCAGUGAUAAACUGGAGGAAGGUGGGGAUGACGUCAAGUCAUCAUGGCCCUUACGAGUAGGGCUACACACGUGCUACAAUGGCGCAUACAAAGAGAAGCGAACUCGCGAGAGCAAAGCGGACCUCAUAAAGUGCGUCGUAGUCCGGAUUGGAGUCUGCAACUCGACUCCAUGAAGUCGGAAUCGCUAGUAAUCGUAGAUCAGAAUGCUACGGUGAAUACGUUCCGGGCCUUGUACCACCGCCGUCACACCAUGGGAGUGGGUUGCAAAAGAAGUAGGUAGCUUAACCUUCGGGAGGGCGCUUACCACUUUGUGAUUCAUGACUGGGGUGUCGUAACAAGGUAACCGUAGGGGAACCUGCGGUU
rnacentral:rRNA from 1 species